GUUGACCUCGAAUCAGGUAGGAAUACCCGCUGAACUUAAGCAUAUCAAUAAGCGGAGGAAAAGAAACCAACAGGGAUUGCCCCAGUAACGGGGAGUGAAGCGGCAGCAGCUCAAAUUUGAAAUCUGGCCCCCCACGGGGCCCGAGUUGUAAUUUGCAGAGGAUGCUUUUGGCGAGGCGCCUUCCGAGUUCCCUGGAACGGGACGCCAUAGAGGGUGAGAGCCCCGUCUGGUCGGACGCCGAGCCUCUGUAAAGCUCCUUCGACGAGUCGAGUAGUUUGGGAAUGCUGCUCUAAAUGGGAGGUAUAUGUCUUCUAAAGCUAAAUACCGGCCAGAGACCGAUAGCGCACAAGUAGAGUGAUCGAAAGAUGAAAAGCACUUUGAAAAGAGGGUUAAACAGUACGUGAAAUUGUUGAAAGGGAAGCGCUCGUGACCAGACUUGGGCCCGGCGGAUCACCCAGCGUUCUCGCUGGUGCACUCCGGCGGGCCCAGGCCAGCAUCAGCUCGUCCCGGGGGACAAAGGCGGGGGGAACGUGGCUCCUCCGGGAGUGUUAUAGCCCACCGCGCAAUGCCCUGGGGCGGGCUGAGGACCGCGCGUACGCAUGGAUGCUGGCGUAAUGGUCACCAGCGACCCGUCUUGAAACACGGACCAA
rnacentral:rRNA from 1 species